GAUCCUAUAGUUUAACGGUUAGAACCUUAGCCCUUCAAGCUAAUAGUACUGGUUCGAUUCCAGUUAGGAUUA
rfam:Babjeviella inositovora NRRL Y-12698 unplaced genomic scaffold BABINscaffold_25, whole genome shotgun sequence.